GACCACUCCGAUCCGGAGUCGAGGCCAUACGGACAGCCGGGUCCACUGCCGA
rnacentral:sRNA from 1 species